CCUACGGGGGGCAGCAGGCGCGAACACUCUCCAAUGUGCGAAAGCGUGAGAGGGGAAUUCCUAGUGCUUAUGGUUCAUCCAUAGGCUUUUGCCAAGUGUAAAUAGCUUGGCGAAUAAGUGGUGGGCCAGACUGGUGCCAGCCGCCGCGGUAACACCAGCGCCACGAGUGGCCAUCGCGAUUAUUGGGCUUAAAGCGUCCGUAGUCUGUUCUAUGCAUCUUCUGUGAAAUCGCUGCGCUUAACGUAGCGGCAUGCGGAAGACACGGUAGAACUUGAGACCGGGAGGCGUCAGAGGUACUCCGGGGGGACCGGUAAAAUGGUAUAAUCCCCGGAAGACCACCUGUGGCGAAGGCGUCUGACGAGAACGGAUCUGACGAUGAGGGACGAAAGCCAGGGGAGCAAACCGGAUUAGAUACCCGCGUAGUCC
rnacentral:rRNA from 1 species